CAAAUACACUGUUAUAGUAAAACUCUAAAUGUGGUCUCAAGUUUUGUUUUAAUUUAUGUGCCGAAAAUAUUGGUUUAUUCCUACAUACAUUAUACAUGAAUCCUGGUGUCAGGUGUCCGCCUAGGUAAGAGAUGCACAUGGACCUGGUCAUCCACUUGAUGUUUCCCAGUGCUCUGUGGUCCAGUUUUGAUGCUCACUGUCAUGGUCCGGUUCCUGGACUCACUUUGACUUAAGCUUGAAGCUUAAGCUUCUCUCUUGGACUCAGGAUACCUUACCCCCAUCUUGGAUAUCACUCUGUGCCCUCCUCCCACCUCACACCAUCAGGAACCUUCAAAUCUCAGUGACUUUGAGCACCACCCGAACCACAAUCUGCACCCCAGAUUCCCCUUUAGCUCCCGGUUCAUGUCCACCACUCCUAGAGUCUGAUAUCCACCAUAGCUCACAGCUCAUGUUUGGUAUUCUAAGCAUUAAAUCAUUGUAUGUAAAUAAAGCAUUGUUGUCAUAUUUAAAUCAGUGCCUCCGACUGUAUCCGUGUUUGGGUUCACUCUC